rnacentral:rRNA from 1 species
GGCAACCCUGACGGAGCAACGCCGCGUGGGGGAGGAGGGUCUGUGGAUUGUAAACCCCUUUUCUCAGGGAAGAAGUUCUGACGGUACCUGAGGAAUCAGCAUCGGCUAACUCCGUGCCAGCAGCCGCGGUAAGACGGAGGAUGCAAGCGUUAUCCGGAAUUAUUGGGCGUAAAGCGUCCGUAGGCGGUUUAUCAAGUCUGUCGUUAAAGACUGCAGCUUAACUGUGGGCGAGCGAUGGAAACUGAGGAACUGGAGUACGGUAGGGGUAGAGGGAAUUCCCAGUGUAGCGGUGAAAUGCGUAGAUAUUGGGAAGAACACCAGUGGCGAAGGCGCUCUACUGGGCCGUAACUGACGCUGAGGGACGAAAGCUAGGGGAGCG